CCUACGGGAGGCAGCAGUGGGGAAUAUUGCUCAAUGGAGGAAACUCUGAAGCAGCGACGCAGCGUGAGGGAUGACGGUCCUCGGAUUGUAAACCUCUGUUUUUAGGGAAGUAAAUGACGGUACGUAAAGAAUAAGCUCCGGCUAAAUUCGUGCCAGCAGCCGCGGUAAUACGUAGGGAGCGAGCGUUAUACGGAAUUACUGGGCGUAAAGGGAGCGUAGGCGGGUUAGAAAGUGUGAUGGGAAAUGCUCAGGCUUAAACUGGAAAUUGCUUUUGAAACUGGUGGUCUUGAGUGAGGGAGAGGCAGGCGGAAUUCGUGGUGUAGCGGUGAAAUGCGUAGAUAUUAGGAGGAACACUGAUUGCGAAGGCGGCCUGCUGGACCGUAACUGACGCUGAGGCUCGAAAGCGUGGGGAGCAAACAGGAUUAGAUACCCUAGUAGUC
rnacentral:rRNA from 1 species